rnacentral:rRNA from 1 species
AGAUUGAACGCUGGCGGCAGGCCUAACACAUGCAAGUCGAGCGCGAAAGUUCCUUCGGGAAUGAGUAGAGCGGCGGACGGGUGAGUAACGCGUAGGAAUUUGCCCAGUAGUGGGGGACAACUCGGGGAAACUCGAGCUAAUACCGCAUACGCCCCAAGGGGGAAAGCAGGGGAUCUUCGGACCUUGCGCUAUUGGAUAAGCCUGCGUCGGAUUAGCUAGUUGGUGGGGUAAGGGCCCUACCAAGGCAACGAUCCGUAGCUGGUCUGAGAGGAUGAUCAGCCACACUGGGACUGAGACACGGCCCAGACUCCUACGGGAGGCAGCAGG